rnacentral:rRNA from 1 species
UACGUAGGGUGCAAGCGUUAAUCGGAAUUACUGGGCGUAAAGCGUGCGCAGGCGGUUAUGUAAGACAGGUGUGAAAUCCUCGGGCUUAACCUGGGAACUGCAUUUGUGACUGCAUAGCUAGAGUACGGUAGAGGGGGAUGGAAUUCCGCGUGUAGCAGUGAAAUGCGUAGAUAUGCGGAGGAACACCGAUGGCGAAGGCAAUCCCCUGGACCUGUACUGACGCUCAUGCACGAAAGCGUGGGGAGCAAACAGG